AGAGUUUGAUCCUGGCUCAGGACGAACGCUGGCGGCGCGCCUAACACAUGCAAGUCGAACGAGCGAGAGAGAGCUUGCUUUCUCGAGCGAGUGGCGAACGGGUGAGUAACGCGUGAGGAACCUGCCUCAAAGAGGGGGACAACAGUUGGAAACGACUGCUAAUACCGCAUAAGCCCACGACCCGGCAUCGGGUAGAGGGAAAAGGAGCAAUCCGCUUUGAGAUGGCCUCGCGUCCGAUUAGCUAGUUGGUGAGGUAACGGCCCACCAAGGCGACGAUCGGUAGCCGGACUGAGAGGUUGAACGGCCACAUUGGGACUGAGACACGGCCCAGACUCCUACGGGAGGCAGCAGUGGGGAAUAUUGCACAAUGGGGGAAACCCUGAUGCAGCGACGCCGCGUGGAGGAAGAAGGUCUUCGGAUUGUAAACUCCUGUUGUUGAGGAAGAUAAUGACGGUACUCAACAAGGAAGUGACGGCUAACUACGUGCCAGCAGCCGCGGUAAAACGUAGGUCACAAGCGUUGUCCGGAAUUACUGGGUGUAAAGGGAGCGCAGGCGGGAAGACAAGUUGGAAGUGAAAUCCAUGGGCUCAACCCAUGAACUGCUUUCAAAACUGUUUUUCUUGAGUAGUGCAGAGGUAGGCGGAAUUCCCGGUGUAGCGGUGGAAUGCGUAGAUAUCGGGAGGAACACCAGUGGCGAAGGCGGCCUACUGGGCACCAACUGACGCUGAGGCUCGAAAGUGUGGGUAGCAAACAGGAUUAGAUACCCUGGUAGUCCACACCGUAAACGAUGAUUACUAGGUGUUGGAGGAUUGACCCCUUCAGUGCCGCAGUUAACACAAUAAGUAAUCCACCUGGGGAGUACGACCGCAAGGUUGAAACUCAAAGGAAUUGACGGGGGCCCGCACAAGCAGUGGAGUAUGUGGUUUAAUUCGAAGCAACGCGAAGAACCUUACCAGGUCUUGACAUCCAACUAACGAAGUAGAGAUACAUUAGGUGCCCUUCGGGGAAAGUUGAGACAGGUGGUGCAUGGUUGUCGUCAGCUCGUGUCGUGAGAUGUUGGGUUAAGU
rnacentral:rRNA from 1 species